CAAUUUCUGGAAUCGGUGUAGACAGGACGUGCACCACCUUCAACGUUGUCAACAUGAAAUGCAUCUUCUUCUGCCAAUGCCUGAAGUCUUGUCCUUGAAACUUGUCCAAUUUUCCGAAACUUUUAGUCAUCUCCUUGACGGUGUUUCCUCCUCCAGCCAUGAUUAUCAGAAAAAAUACUUUGUUCGUUUGUUAGAAAUACGGUAUGAUAAUCCU
rnacentral:lncRNA from 1 species